UACGAAUUAGGUAAAUGUUGGUC
rnacentral:siRNA from 1 species